GGCCUAACACAUGCAAGUCGAGGGGCAGCACAGUGUAGCAAUACAUAGGUGGCGACCGGCGCACGGGUGAGUAACGCGUAUGCAACCUGCCUACAACAGGGGGAUAACCCGGAGAAAUCCGGACUAAUACCGCAUAAAACAGGGGUCCCGCAUGGGAGUAUUUGUUAAAGAUUUAUCGGUUGUAGAUGGGCAUGCGUUCCAUUAGUUGGUUGGUGAGGUAACGGCUCACCAAGACGUCGAUGGAUAGGGGAACUGAGAGGUUUGUCCCCCACACUGGAACUGAGACACGGACCAGACUCCUACGGGAGGCAGCAGUGAGGAAUAUUGGUCAAUGGGCGAGAGCCUGAACCAGCCAAGUCGCGUGAAGGAAGACUGCCUUAUGGGUUGUAAACUUCUUUUAUACAGGAAUAAAAAGGCUUACGUGUAGGCCAUUGCAAGUACUGUAUGAAUAAGCAUCGGCUAACUCCGUGCCAGCAGCCGCGGUAAUACG
rnacentral:rRNA from 1 species